CUUGUUGGGGUUGUAGGACUCCAAUAUGGUAGUCUGUUAGUAUAGUUGAAGGAUUUGGAAAAUUCCGCUAAAGAGGGUGAAAGCCCCGUAGACGAAAUGCUGACAACACCUAGGAGGAUCCUGAGUACGGCGGAACACGAGAAAUUCCGUCGGAAUCCGCGGGGACCAUCCCGCAAGGCUAAAUACUCCCUAGUGACCGAUAGUGAACCAGUACCGUGAGGGAAAGGUGAAAAGCACCCCGGAAGGGGAGUGAAAUAGAUCCUGAAACCGUGUGCCUACAACAAGUCAAAGCUCGUUAAUGAGUGAUGGCGUGCCUUUUGUAGAAUGAACCGGCGAGUUACGAUUGCAUGCGAGGUUAAGUCGAAGAGACGGAGCCGCAGCGAAAGCGAGUCUGAAUAGGGCGAAUGAGUAUGUAGUCGUAGACCCGAAACCAUGUGAUCUACCCAUGUCCAGGUUGAAGGUGCGGUAAAACGCACUGGAGGACCGAACCCACGUACGUUGAAAAGUGCGGGGAUGAGGUGUGGGUAGCGGAGAAAUUCCAAACGAACUUGGAGAUAGCUGGUUCUCUCCGAAAUAGCUUUAGGGCUAGCCUCGGAAUUGAGAAUGAUGGAGGUAGAGCACUGUUUGGACUAGGGGCCCAUCUCGGGUUACCGAAUUCAGAUAAACUCCGAAUGCCAUUCAUUUAUAUCCGGGAGUCAGACUGCGAGUGAUAAGAUCCGUAGUCGAAAGGGAAACAGCCCAGACCACCAGCUAAGGUCCCAAAAUAUAUGUUAAGUGGAAAAGGAUGUGGGGUUGCACAGACAACUAGGAUGUUGGCUUAGAAGCAGCCACCAUUUAAAGAGUGCGUAAUAGCUCACUAGUCGAGUGACCCUGCGCCGAAAAUGUACCGGGGCUAAACAUAUUACCGAAGCUGUGGACUACACCAUUAGGUGUAGUGGUAGGAGAGCGUUCUAAGGGCGUUGAAGGUCGAUCGUGAGGACGGCUGGAGCGCUUAGAAGUGAGAAUGCCGGUAUGAGUAGCGAAAGACAGGUGAGAAUCCUGUCCACCGUAUGACUAAGGUUUCCUGGGGAAGGCUCGUCCGCCCAGGGUUAGUCGGGACCUAAGCCGAGGCCGAUAGGCGUAGGCGAUGGACAACAGGUUGAUAUUCCUGUACCAGUUGUUUUUGUUUGAGCAAUGGAGGGACGCAGUAGGCUAAGGAAUGCAUGCGAUUGGAAGUGCAUGUCCAAGCAAUGAGUCUUGAGUAGAGUUAAAUGCUUUACUCUCUAAGGACAAGUUGUGACGGGGAGCGAAAUAAUAGUAGCGAAGUUCCUGAUGUCACACUGCCAAGAAAAGCUUCUAGUGAGAAAACAACUGCCCGUACCGUAAACCGACACAGGUAGUCGAGGAGAGUAUCCUAAGGUGAGCGAGCGAACUCUCGUUAAGGAACUCGGCAAAAUGACCCCGUAACUUCGGGAGAAGGGGUGCUGACUUCGGUCAGCCGCAGUGAAUAGGCCCAAGCGACUGUUUAUCAAAAACACAGGUCUCUGCAAAAUCGUAAGAUGAAGUAUAGGGGCUGACGCCUGCCCGGUGCUGGAAGGUUAAGAGGAUGGGUUAGCUUCGGCGAAGCUCAGAAUUGAAGCCCCAGUAAACGGCGGCCGUAACUAUAACGGUCCUAAGGUAGCGAAAUUCCUUGUCGGGUAAGUUCCGACCCGCACGAAAGGCGUAACGAUUUGGGCACUGUCUCAACGAGAGACUCGGUGAAAUUUUAGUACCUGUGAAGAUGCAGGUUACCCGCGACAGGACGGAAAGACCCCAUGGAGCUUUACUGUAGUUUGAUAUUGAGUGUUUGUACCACAUGUACAGGAUAGGUAGGAGCCGAUGAGACCGGAACGCUAGUUUCGGAGGAGGCGCUGGUGGGAUACUACCCUUGUGUUAUGAACCCUCUAACCCGCACCACUAAUCGUGGUGGGAGACAGUGUCAGAUGGGCAGUUUGACUGGGGCGGUCGCCUCCUAAAAGGUAACGGAGGCGCCCAAAGGUUCCCUCAGAAUGGUUGGAAAUCAUUCGAAGAGUGUAAAGGCAGAAGGGAGCUUGACUGCGAGACCUACAAGUCGAGCAGGGACGAAAGUCGGGCUUAGUGAUCCGGUGGUUCCGCAUGGAAGGGCCAUCGCUCAACGGAUAAAAGCUACCCUGGGGAUAACAGGCUUAUCUCCCCCAAGAGUCCACAUCGACGGGGAGGUUUGGCACCUCGAUGUCGGCUCGUCGCAUCCUGGGGCUGUAGUCGGUCCCAAGGGUUGGGCUGUUCGCCCAUUAAAGCG
rnacentral:rRNA from 1 species